AAAGUGACGUGUCGAACAAGUGCAGUGAAAGAGCUUUAAAUACAAACAAAGAUCACAUAAGAAGUUGCAAAAGCAAUAAUCAGGUCAAUGACCAUAAAUAUAUAAAUACUUAUACAUAUAUACAUACGAAGCUCAAAUUAUACGUGUGUGCACAGCAAAGGAGGAGCAAGGAGGUGACGCUGAAAUUGGUGGAGGUUUAUGGAUUUAGAAUUGGUGUAAUAUAGGCUAGGAUAUUAGUCCAAACGUCGGUGGGAGGCGUGGCUGCUACCACCGGCGGGCACAGCGAGAUUUCGAGCUGUGUCGCCAGCGGCCGCACCUCCACUGCAGCGGGAGCAGGUUGCAGUGGUUGUACUGUUACUGCCAAACCAAUUCUACGUCGCACCGGUGCCGCAGUCCACGAAGACUCGGACCAGGAAAGCGCCGUAAGUAUAAAUACGGAAAAGGAGGAUGAACUUCUUCGCUCUCCGGAGCUAUCGACCGAGGGUUCCAACUCUGGCAACAAGAGAGGGCCCCGGAAGAAGCCAAGCAAGGAGGGGUUGAAGGCAAAGGCGCGAUAUAAAGCGGCGGUCGGGAUUUGCAACCGACUCCAAGGCAAGCCUAACCUGAAGGAGGAGGAAGAGAAAAGGUUGACUUGGGCCAGAGAGGAGGUAAAGAACGGCCGAGCUCACUUCGCCACUCGUAAUUGGUGCAAUGCUUCAGACCCAGCGUUUGCGAAUCGCAUUGAGGAGCAUAUUGCGGAGACGAGGCAGCGCUCUACGGAGGGUGAAACGAGGGCACCAACGAAAAGGAGGAGAUGCAAAGACGCAGCCAAGAAGCUAGACGUCAGGCAUACGGACGAGAAGCCGAUAACGUCCAAAGCAGCGGCGGCGGUCAAUGAGAUUGCGAGGCGACACCUGAUCGUUGCGCUCAUCGAUCGCAGCAACCCGCUGGUACAGAUGUCUCAAGAGCGGUGGAAAACAGUGGAGAUGAAGCUGUUGGAAGCCCUCUUCGCACGGAUGGACUCCGAUCCAAGCGCACCCAUGCCAACUUUCGAUGGAGCGGAAAUGAUCCUGAAAUGUAAGGACGACCCGUCGUUGACAUGUGUGAAAGAGGCUGUAAAAACGCUUCCGAACCUAUGGGAAAACGCCAAAUUGGAGGUGGUGGACCGUAGCAGCAUUCCUUCGGUGCCCAAAGCGAAGGUUAUUAUACCUAGUGUGGUAGACCCGAAUCAUGCUCUGCUCUGUUGCUGCAAAGACAAAACCCGGACAUUCCGACUAGCGACUGGAGGGUACUAAGCGUGACGAAAUCUUCAAACGAAGACGGAGGCCAAAGCUAUAUCCUUCAGAUUAAUAAAGCGGCGGACGACAUACUCUAUGCGAGGUUCGGGAAGAUGGCAUGGGGCGUUGGUAGCGUGUACCUUCGCCUCAAAAAGCGCCACCCCGCGGACGGCAACGAGAACACUCUAGAAAAAGGGUGAAGUGGAGAAGGAUCUCGGCAUCGAAGAGAUCAUGGCGACUUCACUGGUCUUACAGGAGGUGGAGAGGGCACCUACCCAGCAAUCCGAUGGCGCUGAGCUGAGGGUACUUCAGGUGAACCUCCACAAGAGUAGGAUCGCCUCAGCCGAGCUGCUUCUCAAUUUAGAGAAGGACGGCUACGACGUGGCUCUAGUCCAGGAACCAUGGAUAGCUUUGGGAAACGUGGUCUCUGGGCUAAAGUCCAAAAACUUUAUAACAUACAUCCCGAGCGUAACCAACAGGAUGACCUAACGGUGGUGGGUGUAAAGGGUGUCAAGGAUGAGCUCAUACUCCUUGCAUCCUGCUACAUGCCACACGAUAGCGAGGCGCAAACGGCGGAGCUCCAUAGACUGGCGGCUACAUCCAGUGACAGGAGGCAGGCGCUGGUGGUGGGCGCCGACGCCAACGCCCAUCAUACGCUUUGGGGAAGCCCAGACAUAAACCAGAGAGUUGAGUCACUAUUCAACUUUAUCAUUCAAAGUAGUUUAGCGCUAGCCAAUCGAGGUGAGGAACCUACAUUAUACCUACUUCUUAUAUAGGACCCACAUCAAAAAACAUUUUAGACAUUACUCUAUUUACAAGUAGAGGUGAAUUGGUGGGGAACUGGAAGGUGUUAGGUACACCAUCUUUCUCUGAUCAUUGGUACAUCUACUACUCCAUUCGAUCGAAAGCUAAAAUAAGAGGAGUAGGUAGAAGGGUUCUCAGAAGGGCAAAUUGGGACCUCUACAGACGGAUAUUAUUGUGUAAGAGACUCAGACCUUGCACUUUUAACUCUCACAAAGAACUAGAGGAGGGCGUAAACCUAUUUACAAAUGCUCUCAACAAGGCAUUCCAAUCCGCGUGUCCUCAAUUACAGCUGAGGCAAAACACAAAGCCCCCCUGGCGGAACAAGGAACUCGGCUCCUGCAGACGCAAGGUACGAUAGAUGUUCAACUGGGCCAAAAUAGCAGAGAAUGAUGAAUGCUAUGGUAAAUAUAAAGAUCUGCUAAGAGACUACAAAAAGCUAUUGCUUAGGACCAAACGUGAGUCCUGGAAAAGCUUUUGUGGCAAGUUUGAAAAGACCAAUGAGGUGGCAAGGCUCAGGAAGCUGUUAUCCAAGAGUCCCGCUCCACCUGGUCUGAUUCGCAAAAUUGACGGGGAAUGGACGCACAAUUGUGAGGACUCGUUAGAGGACCUUGUCAGAGUGCACUUCCCAGGCUGUAAGAAUAGAGUCACUCCUGAGUGUGUAGGGGAACGUCCAGCCCAUUCAAAUCCCCAGGUAAGAAUGGAAUCAUCCCAUCCAUGCUACAAAAUAUACCACGGUUGGUUGUGCCGUGGUUAAAAACGAUUUUUAGAGAAUGCCUAAGGUUCGGGUAUGUGCCGCACUCGUGGAGAGAGGCUAGGGUAGUGUUCAUUCCAAAGGCAGGUAAGAACAACCCAACCUACUCAAAGGAGUUUAGGCCCAUAAGCUUAACCUCUUUCCUUCUGAAAACAUUAGAGAAAAUUAUUGACAUAUAAUUUAAGGGACGCGCCGCCCCCUGGCAGCCUGUCCAAGGCACAGCAUGCGUAUACUAAAGGCAGAUCUGUAGAGACUACACUCCAUUCACUAGUAUUUAACAUCGAAAAGGCCCUGGAAUAUAAAGAUUAUGCUCUCGGAGCUUUUCUGGACAUUUCCGGUGCAUUCAACAACGUUUCAACGGAAGCCAUUCUGAAUGGCAUCGAGUCUAUAGGAGUUGAACCAGCCUUACGGCACUGGGUAAAAAGCCUCCUGACUUCUAGAAGGAUAACGGCAGAAUGGAACGAUGCCAGAACGACCAAGGAAGUUGGUAGGGGAACUCCGCAGGGCGGGGUACUUUCUCCGCUCCUUUGGACACUGGUCGUGAAUAAUCUGUUGAAAAACUUCGAAGGUAAAGCUCCCAAGAUAAUAGCGUAUGCGGACGACAUUGCCAUAGUAAUAACAGGAAAGUGUCUGCAUACUAUUAGCAACAUUAUGACCAGCACACUAAAUACUGUCCAAAAUUGGGCAACACAAGUAGGCCUAGGGUUGAAUGCGGAAAAAACCGAUCUGCAUCUGUUUACAAGGAAAUACAAAAUCCCUCAAUGGAGGUUCCCCUCGCUAAACGGAACAGAACUAUAACCAAAGGACCGCACUAAGUACCUAGGAGUCGUCUUGGACAGUAAGUUACUGUGGAAGCACAAUGUGGAAGAAACGGUAAGAAAGGCUAGUAAUGCUCUUUAAGCAUGCAGGCAGUUGCAAGGCACUACCUGUGGGCUUUCUCCCUCUCUCAUGACUGGUGCUACACAGCGAUAGUGAGACCAAUCCUGCUCUAUGGUGCUAUUGUGUGGUGGACAGGUUUAAAGAAGUCAACUUACAGAAAGCCAAUGGAAAGGGUUCAGCGAUUCGCAGCGCUCUGUAUAACGGGAGCUCUGAGAACCACCCCUACGGCAGCUCUUGAACGGAUACUUAACCUGCCGCCGAUAGAUCUCUUUGCCGAAACUUAUGCGGCAAAAUCUGCGGGGCGACUACUGGCGGGAGGAGAAUUUACGCAUCGAACUUUUGGGCACAGCUCGGUGGGUAGGGGCGGUUUGGCAAGUACCGACUACUUGACCCCACUCAUGAACUGGGAAAGAAUAUUCCGGGUGAACCUGGAAAAAGACGGCUGGCGUGAGGGAAUGAUAACCUCACGCAGCACAUUGAAUAUCUACACGGAUGGCUCGAAAAUGGAGGACGGGGUAGGUGCUGGAAUAUACUAUCAGGAGUUAGGUGUAAUGCAGCCUUUUAAACUUCCGAACCACUGCAGUAUUGCUAUUGGGAAAGCCGCGGAGCUAGUCCUCAAUACAGCAGCCGGCUACUCCAAAGUCAAUAUCUACGUAGACAGUCAAGCAGCAAUUAAGGCAACAACCUCGGUUUGCAUUUCGGCCAAAAGUGUCUUGGAUACCAGGAUGGCAGUGGAGAGAGUUGCCAGGAACAGGACAAAAAGACAUUGAAGGCAACGAGAUUGUGGACGAAAUUGCCAAAAAUGGUGUAAAACUGUCUUCCGGAAACGCGAAUAACAUUGGCAAACCCAUGCACUGUCUGUUCGAUGAUCUGGACAGGGGCAUGAAAAGAAAAAUCCUAACACGUUGGACAAAUAUACCGGGGUGUAAAACCGCUAAAGCCAUGUGUAAAACCGUAGACCAGAAGUACACCAAACUCAUUCUGUCACUCGAUAGAAGGGACUGUAGGAGUGUGGUGGGAAUACUCACAGGUCACUGUCUGGUGGCGGCACAUGCCUACAAAGUGGGACUUACAGAUCGAGAUAAAAGCAGGAAAUGCCAAGAGCAAGGUGCAAUAGAAACAAUGAAGCAUCUUCUGUGUACCUGCCCUGCAUUGUCAAGGCAGCGACUUCGCUACUUGGGAACCUCACAAUAUGAGAAUCUGGAAGAGAGAAAAUCCGCGUCAAGUGCAGGUAUGCUAAAGGAUGACUACUCCUCGUGGACAACAUGACGGCACUCCAUCUGGUAUCGCAAAGGACCUAAAUAGGUCUAUGUGUGGCGUAUUGGCCUACCUAAUAUUUAAAAAUUAAUCUAUAAUGAUAAUUAAAAAUUUAAAAUAUUAAACAUUACUAAUCUAUAAAUGUAAAUACAUCAUACAAUUAUAAUAAAUAAAUA